AGACCAUGGUGAAGACAACGCCAAAGUAAUUCUUUGUAUCUUUAACAAGCUUCAUACAACGAUUCAGAAUUUUGCUGAAUGAAUGAUGUAAUAUCAUUCCUCAUUUU
rnacentral:snoRNA from 1 species